rnacentral:rRNA from 1 species
AGGCUUAACACAUGCAAGUCGAGGGGUUUCGAAGGAGCUUGCUCUAGAGAGACGACCGGCGCACGGGUGAGUAACGCGUAUCCAACCUGCCCUUCAUAUUGGGAUAGCCUUCCGAAAGGGAGAUUAAUACCGAAUAACAUAGUAUAGUUGCCUGACCUUACUAUGAAAGCUCCGGCGAUGAAGGAUGGGGAUGCGUUCCAUUAGGUAGUAGGCGGGGUAACGGCCCACCUAGCCGACGAUGGAUAGGGGUUCUGAGAGGAAGGUCCCCCACACUGGAACUGAGACACGGUCCAGACUCCUACGGGAGGCAGCAGUGAGGAAUAUUGGUCAAUGGGCGCAAGCCUGAACCAGCCAAGUAGCGUGAAGGAUGACUGCCCUAUGGGUUGUAAACUUCUUUUAUACGGGAACAAACCUUGGUACGCGUACCAAAUUGCGUGUACCGUAUGAAUAAGCAUCGGCUAACUCCGUGCCAGCAGCCGCGGUAAUACGGAGGAUGCGAGCGUUAUCCGGAUUUAUUGGGUUUAAAGGGAGCGUAGACGGGAUGUUAAGUCAGUUGUGAAAGGCUGCGGCUCAACCGCAGCACUGCAGUUGAUACUGGCGUCCUUGAGUGCGGUUGAGGUAUGUGGAAUUCGUGGUGUAGCGGUGAAAUGCUUAGAUAUCACGAAGAACUCCGAUUG